rnacentral:rRNA from 1 species
AACGAACGCUGGCGGCAUGCCUAACACAUGCAAGUCGAACGAGACCUUCGGGUCUAGUGGCGCACGGGUGCGUAACGCGUGGGAACCUGCCCUUAGGUUCGGAAUAACUCCCCGAAAGGGGUGCUAAUACCGGAUAAUGUCUUCGGACCAAAGAUUUAUCGCCUUUGGAUGGGCCCGCGUUGGAUUAGCUAGUUGGUAGGGUAAAAGCCUACCAAGGCGACGAUCCAUAGCUGGUCGGGGAGGAUGAUCAGCCACACUGGGGCUGAGACACGGCCCAGACUCCUACGGGAGGCAGCAGUGGGGAAUAUUGGACAAUGGGCGAAAGCCUGAUCCAGCAAUGCCGCGUGAGUGAUGAAGGCCUUAGGGUUGUAAAGCUCUUUUACCCGGGAUGAUAAUGACAGUACCGGGAGAAUAAGCUCCGGCUAACUCCGUG